GAUGAAGAACGCAGCGAAAUGCGAUACUUGGUGUGAAUUGCAGAAUCCCGCGAAUCAUCGAGUUUUUGAACGCAAGUUGCGCCCGAAGCCAUUCGGCCGAGGGCACGUCUGCCUGGGUGUCACGCAUCGUUGCCCCCCCAAACUCCGGUUCGGGCGGGGCGGAAGUUGGCCUCCCGUGCGUGCCUGCGCGCGCGGUUAGCCCAAAAGCGAGUCCUCGGCGAUGAGCGCCACGACAAUCGGUGGUUUUUCUACCCUCGUUCCUCGUCGUGCGUGCCCCGUCGCCCGAACGCGCUCUUGCAACCCUUACGCGUCGCCUCGGUGGCGCUCCCAACGCGACCCCAGGUCAGGCGGGACUACCCGCUGAGUUUAAGCAUAUCAAUAAGCGGAGGA
rnacentral:misc_RNA from 1 species